rnacentral:sRNA from 1 species
UUUUAGCCCUGAUGGAAAUGACAUCCUUUUACUUUUUAUUCUGACGAAGGAAGAAUAAAAAGUAAAAGAUAAAAUGGACAGCAGGAUUAGCU